rnacentral:rRNA from 1 species
AUUGAACUCUGGCGGCAGGCUUAACACAUGCAAGUCGAUCGAGCGGCGGACGGGUGAGUAAUGUCUGGGAAACUGCCUGAUGGAGGGUGAUAACUACUGGAAACGGUAGCUAAUACCGCAUACCAUCAGAUGUGCCCAGAUGGGGUUAGCUAGUAGGUGGGGUAAUGGCUCACCUAGGCGACGAUCCCUAGCUGGUCUGAGAGGAUGACCAGCGACACUGGAACUGAGACACGGGCCAGAGUCGUACGGGAGGCAGCAGGGGGGAAUAUUGCACAAUGGGCGAAAGCCGGAUGCAGCCAUGCCGCGUGUGUGAAGAAGGCCUUCGGGUUGUAAAGCACUUUCAGCGAGGAGGCGUUACUCGCAGAAGAAGCACCGGCUAACUCCGUGCCAGCAGCCGCGGUAAUAC